rnacentral:rRNA from 1 species
CAAGUCGAACGCGAAAGUUCCCUUCGGGGAGCAAGUAGAGUGGCGCACGGGUGAGUAACACGUAGGUAAUCUACCUUUGGAUGGGGAAUAACAACCGGAAACGGUUGCUAAUACCGCAUAAUGCAGCGGCACCUAAUGGUGACAGUUGUUAAAGCGGGGGAUCGAAAGACCUCGCGUCUAAAGAGGAGCCUGCGGCGGAUUAGCUAGUUGGUAAGGUAAUGGCUUACCAAGGCGAUGAUCCGUAACCGGCCUGAGAGGGCGGUCGGUCACACUGACACUGACAUACGGGUCAGACUCCUACGGGAGGCAGCAGUCGGGAAUUUUGGGCAAUGGGCGAAAGCCUGACCCAGCAACGCCGCGUGAAGGAUGAAAUCCCUCGGGAUGUAAACUUCGCAAGAACGGGAAGAAUAAGUUGGUGUGAAUAUCACCAGCGAUGACGGUACCGUUUGUAAGCUCCGGCUAACUCCGUGCCAGCAGCCGCGGUAAUACGGGGGGAGCAAGCGUUGUUCGGAUUUACUGGGCGUAAAGGGCGCGUAGGCGGCCACUGCAAGUCGGUUGUGAAAUCUCCGGGCUUAACCCGGAAAGGUCAAUCGAUACUGCAGGGCUAGAGUGCAGAAGGGGCAACUGGAAUUCUCGGUGUAGCGGUGAAAUGCGUAGAUAUCGAGAGGAACACCUGCGGCGAAGGCGGGUUGCUGGGCUGACACUGACGCUGAAGCGCGAAAGCUAGGGGAGCGAACGGGAUUAGAUACCCCGGUAGUCCUAGCCUUAAACGAUGAAUGCUUGGUGUCUGGGGUUUUAUA